AUUGAACGCUGGCGGCAGGCCUAACACAUGCAAGUCGAGCGGAUGAAGGGAGCUUGCUCCUGGAUUCAGCGGCGGACGGGUGAGUAAUGCCUAGGAAUCUGCCUGGUAGCGGGGGAUAACGUCCGGAAACGGGCGCUAAUACCGCAUACGUCCUGAGGUAGAAAGUGGGGGAUCUUCGGACCUCACGCUAUCUGAUGAGCCUAGGUUGGAUUAGCUAGUUGGUGGGGUAAAGGCCUACCAAGGCGACGAUCCGUAACUGGUCUGAGAGGAUGAUCAGUCACACUGGAACUGAGACACGGUCCAGACUCCUACGGGAGGCAGCAGUGGGGAAUAUUGGACAAUGGGCGAAAGCCUGAUCCAGCCAUGCCGCGUGUGUGAAGAAGGUCUUCGGAUUGUAAAGCACUUUAAGUUGGGAGGAAGGGCAGUAAGUUAAUACGUUGCUGUUUUGACGUUACCAACAGAAUAAGCACCGGCUAACUUCGUG
rnacentral:rRNA from 1 species